UCGGAGUCGAUGACGCAAAGGGAGAAGGGGCCUGACGGUGCUCUGAUUGGUGGGGGUGCGCGAGAGCACGGCCGGGGCCGAGACCCUGGGAUUAGGGUCUUCUGAGAGCCGUGGUGAGUGCCGGCUUUACCGCCUGGCCUUGCGGGUUUGCGAAGAUGCGGAAGGUGGUUUUGAUCACCGGAGCGAGCAGUGGCAUCGGCCUGGCCCUCUGUAAGCGGCUGCUGGUGGAAAACGAUGAGCUUCAUCUGUGUUUGGCGUGCAGGAAUGUGAGCAAAGCGGAAGGUGUCCGAGCAAGUCUGCUGGCCUCUCAUCCCACUGCUGAGGUCACUGUCGUGCAGGUGGAUGUCAGCAACUUGCAGUCAGUAUUCCGGGCCUCCAGUGAACUUAAGCAAAGGUUUCAGAGACUGGACUUUGUAUAUCUAAAUGCUGGGAUCAUGCCUAAUCCACAACUAAAUCUCAGAGCACUUUUCUCUGGCCUCUUUUCAAGAAAAGUGAUUCAUAUGUUCUCCACAGCUGAAGGACUGCUGACCCAGGACAACAACGUCACUGCUGAUGGGCUCCAGGAGGUGUUUGAAACUAACGUCUUUGGCCACUUUAUCCUGAUUCGGGAACUGGAGCCUCUCCUGUGUCACAGUGACCACCCAUCUCAGCUCAUCUGGACAUCAUCUCGCAAUGCAAGGAAAUCUAAUUUCAGCCUUGAGGACUUUCAGCACAGCAAAGGCCAAGAACCCUAUAGCUCUUCCAAAUAUGCCACUGACCUUCUGAAUGUGGCCUUGAACAGGAACUUCAACCAGCGGGGUCUGUAUUCCAGUGUGGUAUGCCCAGGUACAGUAUUGACCAAUCUGACAUUUGGAAUUCUACCUCCUUUUGUGUGGACGCUGUUGAUACCCAUCAUAUGGCUGCUUCGCUUUUUUGCAAAUGCUUUCACUUUGACACCAUAUAAUGGAACAGAAGCGCUGGUAUGGCUUUUCCGCCAAAAGCCUGAGUCUCUUAAUCCUUUGACCAAGUAUAUGAGUGCCACCACUGGCUUUGGAAGCAAUUAUGUAAUGGCCCAGAAGAUGGAUCUAGAUGAAGACACUGCUGAAAAAUUUUACCAAAACUUACUGGAACUGGAAAAGCAGGUUAGGAUCACCAUGAACGCAGUCCCUGGUGCUAAAAAGGUUCGGGACAAAUGACAUCAAACAUGGCUAUCACUGACUACCUUGCAGAAUGUGAGAUUAUGUCCUGAGAAGAAGCAGAAAUUGAGUCAGAUUUGAAGCGACAGCAGAUACUCUCCUGUGGACUGUGAAGGACCUUUAGAAGCUAAGGAUGCUACCUCCUGCCAGCUGAUAAACAGCAAGAAAAUGGGGACCUCGGACCUACCAUGGCAGGAGCUGGUUUCUACUAAGUGCCUGUGUGAACUUGGAACCAAAUUCCACCUACAGCCUCCACGGCUUUGGUGUUAGUGGUAUGAAACCGGAGCCCAGAAACCAGUUGGACUUUGCUGGGCUUCUGACCUAUGUAACUGAGAGAUAAUAAGUAAAAUGCUAAAUUUGUUAUAAUUUGUUACAGCAGCAAUACAAUUCCUUACACUAAAAGAAAUUCCAUAUGUAUAAAUGAUGAAUCAACAUUAUUAAAAAAUUUGUAUGGAUAAUAAAUUAUUACAAAUAAAAAUCAAAAUACAAACUGGGAAAGAUACUUGUCAUCCAUAUGCAAGCCAAUUGGGAAAUUAACCCAAUAUUUACAGAAUAUGCACAGUCAAUAGUAAAGUUUAAAGAUGCUUAAUCUAACCCACAAUAAAGUGAAAUCAAACUAAAAGUAAGUGAGUUUUCAUCUUUUGCUUUUCAUGUUAGCAAACAUCAAAAGGUUUUGUCCUGUGUGUGAAAGAACAAGGACUAUCAUUUAGUAUUGUUUGUGAUACGAAUCAUUUAUUCCUUUGAAUAACAAUUUUGACUAGCAAAAUUUAAAAUGCAUAUACUUUUAGCAAUUCUACUUUUUGAAGUGGUAUCCUAAAGGUACAAAGCAUAAAUAUGUACAACGAUAUAUACACCAACACUUAUACAAAACCCUUAGUGCUGAAUGUGCUUCAGAACUGAAAGUUGCCUGGAUUUUAGAAAGCGCAGUUGGUAGAUACAAUACAGUCGGGGGAGCUGGGAUAACAAUUUGUAAUCAAAUCCAGUUAUAUGUCAGCAAAAAUGACACAGGAAUUCACUUUAAGUAGUAUAAAGAAAGACUAUGAAUAGCCUCACGUCAGUUCAGCUACGGUUUGACUGCCAGAUGAGCAUGCCAAAAAAGUGAAAUGACUUUCAGAUUUCUUAGCUGUUUGGACUUUGCAAUUGCAGAUGAAGGGUUUUUAGAUAUGUUCAAGGAUAUUCACUGUAGCAUUUUUGUUCUAUGACAGCAAAAGAGUAGAAAGAACAUAAACAGCUUUAACCUCUGGGAUGAAGUAUUAUGUCAUAUCCAUAAAAUGCAAUAAAAAGUAUUCCAAGUAAUAAAAAGAGUGAAGUUAAAAAAAUAAGGUAUAUAUGGAUUGUGGAUGAAGUAUAAUAAAAACAAGAUGCUGUUAACUGUACGUUUUGUUUUCAUUUCUAUUAUAUACACACACAAUACACAGUCUACAUACACAGAGAAUCUGUGAAAAGAACCAUAAGAAACCUGGGGUUUGUAACAUUGACAGUGACAGUAGUUGCUCUGGGGCGAUCAACUAGCCAGGAGGCUAUUUGGGCUUUUCAUUGCGUUCUUACUGUGGUGAAUUUUGGAGUUAGUAUCUUUUAUUUUAUUCUAUAUUUAAUUGUUAAUGUAAUAACUAAAAAAACCUCAAGGAUAUUAAAUGGUGGGUUCAGAUUAAGUUCUGUCUUCAGGCCUCCUACACUAGUGUUGCCAUCUUCCCCUAUGGUGGAUAUUUGGAAAAGUGGCCCUGAGAAACAGAAAAAGAGAAAAAAAAUAGACAUCUUUCACAGAGGUCCUGUUUUAAGGUAUAGGUAGUGUAAGUGGAUGACCUCGUCUAGGCCAUAAACACACACUAUACAGUGAUGGUACUUACAGUUCUGUAUCAAAACCCAGAUUAUUUUCUGCUUCAGCCUGUAAACAAAGAUAAAUGAAGAAGACUUAUAUCUGACUGCAAUUAGGAGUGUGAUGGUGAAGGAAGGAAAGGAGACGAAACGCAGGAUUGUGCACCCCCAAACGAUACAGUGCCUCCAUUUUUACAGUCAAAAUGAAAUGAAAGGACUAAUGGAAUAAUUACCCAGUCUUGGCCCUUAUACCAAAUAUUCUGGAGCAGCUCCGGUGCGUGGCGCAGGAUGUGUGUGCAAGUGCAGAGGGGAACCGCGCGGAACCGUGCCGAGUCUAGGACGACAGGUGGCGCUUCUUGGCCAGCAGAGGUCCCCUCAGCCUGUGGCUGCUUGACCCGCUGGCAGCCCCCGGGGCUCAGGCGUGGGUUGGGGGGCGGGGUGUGAUGCCGGAGUCACAGGAGCGGUGGAGGCCUGGGAAAACCAGGAAACCGCUGCGGUCUCUGCUGCUUGGGUGCUCGGUUUCCAUGACUACCACCCUGAAGGUGAUUUUGGUCAUCUUCAUCAGCAGCAGGUGAGCAGGUGAGUGCCCCUCUGCAGAACGCCACACACUGAGUGUGGGACCCACGCCUUGGAGGCCCCGUGAUGUGCCUUUUGUAGGGGCCCGAGGUGCAUUCUGAUUGCCACCCGGCCUGCCGCGCCC